rnacentral:rRNA from 1 species
AGGAUUAACGCUGGCGGCGUGCCUAACACAUGCAAGUCGAACGAGGGGGGCAACCCCCGAGUGGCAGACGGGUGAGUAACGCGUGGUCAACCUACCCUAGAGUGGGGAAUAACUAGCCGAAAGGUUAGCUAAUACCGCAUGAUACGUUUUGGGACAUCCCAGGACGUUGAAAGGAGCAAUCCGCUCGAGGACGGGACCGCGUCCGAUUAGCUAGUUGGUGAGGUAACGGCCCACCAAGGCUCCGAUCGGUAGCUGGUUUGAGAGAGCGACCAGCCACACUGGGACUGAGAAACGGCCCAGACUCCUACGGGAGGCAGCAGUGAGGAAUUUUCCGCAAUGGGCGAAAGCCUGACGGAGCGACGCCGCGUGUGGGAGAAGGCCUUCGGGUCGUAACCACUGUCGAAGGGACUAUACUGAAGGUACCCUUGGAGGAAGCCCGGCUAACUACGUGCCAGCAGCCGC